rnacentral:rRNA from 1 species
GAUGAACGCUGGCGGCGUGCCUAAUACAUGCAAGUCGAGCGAACGGACGAGAAGCUUGCUUCUUUGAUGUUAGCGGCGGACGGGGGAGUAACACGUGGAUAACCUACCUUUAAGUCUGGGAUAACUUCGGAAAACCGGAGCUAAUACCGGAUAAUAUUUUGAACCGCAUGGUUCAAAAGUGAAAGACGGUUUUGCUGUCUCUUAUAGAUGGUUCCGCGUUGCAUUAGUUAGUUGGUAAGGUAACGGCUUACCAAGGCGACGAUGCAUAGCCGACCUGAGAGGGUGAUCGGCCACACUGGAACUGAGACACGGUCCAGACUCCUACGGGAGGCAGCAGUAGGGAAUCUUCCGCAAUGGGCGCAAGCCUGACGGAGCAACGCCGCGUGGGUGAUGAAGGUCUUCGGAUCGUAAAACUCUGUUAUUAGGGAAGAACAUAUGUGUAAGUAACUGUGCACAUCUUGACGGUACCUAAUCAGAAAGCCACGGCUAACUACGUG